AUUCUGAGUCUUCAUGGGGAUUUUUUUGUUUUUAUAACAUAGGUGGCAAUGGCAAUUUGUAAAUGAAGAGUGUAAUUAACUAGAAAAACUUGUUGACAGUAACCAAACUCUAGGUGUAUCAUUAUAUGACUGGCUGUACUUAUGUAUUUAUUUGUCUAAAUUGUAUAUAUUGUUUUAUCUAUAGUGUCUGUAGAAGUGCAUUCUUUUAGAUUAAAGUAUUAUUUACAGUUUUGUGGGAUUGCCAGCAAAGCUGCUAAUCAAGAUACUAUUUUUUGUAUCAAUGUUAAAUAAUAAAAAAGAAUGAAAUCAAAUGAAAAACUGAAGGUGUCAUGUACAGUUUUAUUCACCUCUAGAAA